ensembl:ncRNA lncRNA:CR44377 long non-coding RNA:CR44377
ACCCGAGUAAGCUAACCUGUUUUCACAUGGUAUUAAAGGAUCUUCUUUAAGUGCUUUGUUUGCUUUAAUAUUGCUCAUAAAAUGUACAGCCAUUUGCAAACUACAGAAAAAUUAAUUAGUUAUGAUAAUCAAAGUAAUGGAAAUUCAUAUUAUAUUUUUAAAAUAUUAAAAUGUGUUUUCUAGAACUUAACGAAAUCAUCAAAUGUUUAGAAUCUAUCAUAAUUAGGAAAAAUGAAAGUUUUAGUACGAGCAAAACAUUAAUUUCCUGCCAUCUCUAAUUAAAGUCAGACCGAAAAACUUUAUAGACCAUUAAAAUUAUACUGCAAUUACAAAUGUAAAAUCAAUCCGCAAGCUGAAUGUGAAAAUAAGCCAGAAAAAAGGGAUGAGGCAUGAAAAAGCCUGCAGCAAUUGGCACAAACCAAAUGGCUCCACAGUGCCAAAAACCACACAAAAAAAAACCAUGAUAAAAGAGGGAAAGCUGUGAAAUGCUGGGAAACUGAGAAGGGAAAUUCCAGCAAAAGUAGAGGAAACAGUGAAAGGAAAAGCAGAGGAACCAACAAGGGAAAUGGAUCAAUGUCGAAUGUCUGGGAGCUUGAUGGUAAUUUGAGAGAGAGCUUAUGCUCCCCAUUGUAAUUGUGAUUUGGAUUCGAAGAAUCUGAAAUGAAUAGAAGCAGCUAAAGGGAUAGACAUGAUUCAAUUACGAAGCUCUUCCCGAAAUCAGAGGUAAAAAAACCUACUUCAGUGCGUCGCAUAUCUGAGUGAUAGGAAACAUUUUCGUAAAUUGUCUAAUAUGAAACAUUAUUUACUUACAGUAAGCCGAAAAUGACACUCAAUAACAUUAAUCUCCUUGUAAUUUAUCCCUUAGGAGUCCUUUUACAAACCCCAAACCAAUCAUUGCUGCAUUGUUAUGCAUACAUGUGACUUUUCCCUGUCGAUACAGCAUAGUAAUUCAUUUCACUUUCCCAGUUUUUCCACAGCACAAUUUUUUAUGUACUGAUUUUCCUGUCGAUUAAGCCCAACGGAAUGAACACUGCCCAACUGCAACCCAAACUGAACAAAGGGACAUAUGUGGAUAUGUACAACAUACCCAAAUCCAGUGGCAAAUUGCAACAUAUUUGCAUGUGCCACUUGCAACAUUUACGAUCGACUAAAGCACUCACUCAAUCAUCGCUGGGGGACAAGAACAAUAACAAACAGCUACCGAAAAUACGACAAAAAUUUCCGCAGCAAAGAGGGAAAUCCCGCAGGAGGGAAAGUGGAAAAAAACUGGGUGGUGAGUGUAAGGGUGAAAUCCAUCGAUUGCGUGCAGCGUUAAAUGUCAGCCCGCAGCCAAUUGCAGAUGUCAACACAUGCAUGGCCCCCCCCAAAAAAAAAGGAAAUGGAUCCCCAACACAGUCACACACUUUGCGCCUAAAAAUUGGCAGACAUUUUCGCGAGUGGGUGAAUUUCGGAAAAUGUUGUGAUUCAUGCCCGCUUUUCCGGCGGCUCAUUGCGCGUCGAAUGCGUUCAAUUACGAAAUGCCAAAACUGUCCGGCGAAUUCGUUUCAAUUUCAAAGUACAUUCGCAAUCACUUUGUUCAUUGUGCUGCCUGUCAAUUGCAUUAAUUUAUAAUUAUGUGCCGCCCGCCCACACAGGCACAUCCACACAAAAGACAACUAAUUAAGGCAAAGCAAUUAACUUAAGCAGCGACUAAGUCGGCUCACGAACCACUUGAAACUCCAAUUAGGGGCGUGGCACAUCCACAAUCUGUCUAAUCCCAUCGAGGGUCCAAGGUAAUUUGGUCGGAUAUCACGAUUUGCCUAUUACUCAUCCCUUCUAUGUAUUCAAUCUACCGACUUUUCCUAGUUGUUUGCACUUUGAAUUAAUUAAGCUGAAUUUGAUUUUAGUGAUUGUGUCGCUUUUUCUCCUUUUGAUUGCAAGCUGUUUAAUGCAAUGUAAACAGAAAUAAAUAAAGCUUUGGGCCGGCUGUCGCACAAUCUUCUGUUUGCCUCCCACACUAUGUUAUAUAAUACGCUUUCCCGAUGCUGAUAAGACGGCGUACUGAAUACAAAAGAAUUGGGGCAGAUGAAGGAACAGCUCCUUUUAAUACCCACCGAAUUAGGGGACGCUCUUCCUAUUAAAGUAAAGUUUGUUGUGGUAUAUAUAUAUUAUUAAUAGAGUACAAAAUAAGAUUAUAAAAUAAGAUAAUAAUAAAUAUAUAAUAAACUACGAAUAUAUUCAAAUUUAGAGUUCAAUGCUUGAAAUAUAUUUCAUAAUUCAAAUACUCAUGGUUAGGGUAAAAAAAACAAAGCCAGACUACUG